AUCUGGGCGGCGGAAUUCAGGAUGGUCGUGUUCGCGCGCGGCCGUUUGAUAUUUCCGUCGCCGUGUCGGACGUCGCGACCUGUUCGCCAGUCGGUCCCUGCUCGGAGGAAUCGCGAUCGAGCUCGUUGCGCGGUACGUUUCGGCGUGUCGCGCGGCGAAGACGCGACUCUCUGGCUGACGGCGGACAGUAAGCAACGGUGUCCGGCGUCGUGUCUCGCACUCGACGUCCGGUGCCGGUCUGCGACGAUUUCUUCGGGCCUCUUUCCGACCCGUCUUGAAACACGGACCAAGGAGUCUAACAUGCGCGCGAGUCGCGGGGCAUCGAGCGUACCACCGGUGCGCUCGUNAUAUGCGAAACCCGUCUCUGAAAGGCGUAAUGAAAGUGAACAGGGAAGAUGGCGUUCCGAGACCACGUACCGUGAUCGAGUGUCGCGGCCGGACGUCCGCACUCCCGGGGCGUCUCAAUGGCUCGUCGCGGACGCGGACGAUCGUCUCUCCGGGGACGGUGGUCGGUCUGCGUCGGACCGA
rnacentral:rRNA from 1 species